rnacentral:rRNA from 1 species
AGUAGCGGUGAAAUGCGUAGAUAUCUGGAGGAAUACCAAAGGCGAAGGCAGUCCCCUGGUCCGAUACUGACACUGAGGUACGAAAGCGUGGGGAGCAAACAGGAUUAGAUACCCUGGUAGUCCACGCCCUAAACGAUGUCGAUUAGCCAUUGGAAGGACCCCUUUUCCUUUCAGUGACGUAGCUAACGCGUUAAAUCGACCGCCUGGGAAGUACGACCGCAAGGUUAAAACUCAAAGGAAUUGACGGGGACCUGAACAAGCGGUGAAUGAUGUGGAUUAAUUCGAUGCUACGCGAAGAACCUUACCUACCUUUGACAUGGCCAAAGUUCUACCGAGAGGCGGAAGUACUCGUAAGAGGAUUGGCGCACAGGUGCUGCAUGGUUGUCGUCAGUUCGUGUCGUGAGAUGUUGGGUUCAGUCCCGCAACGAACGCAACCCUUAUCUUUAAUUGCUCCUAUUUUAACAGGCACUUUAAAGAAACUGCCAAUGAUAAGUUGGAGGAAGGUGGGGAUCACGUCAAGUCCGCAUGGCCUUUAUAGGUAGGGCUUCACACGUCAUACAAUGGUUAGAACAAAGAGCUGCAAAUUCGUAAGAAGGAGCCAAUCUCACAAACCUAACCUCAGUUCGAAUUGCGGUCUGCAACUCAAGCGCAUGAAGCCGGAAUCGCUAGUAAUCGUGGAUCAGAAUGCCA